GAUAAACGCUGGCGGCGUGCCUAACACAUGCAAGUCGAACGCCCUUUUGCGCAAGUGAGAGGGAGUGGCGGACGGGUGAGUAGCACGUGGGUACCUACCUUGAGGUGAGGAAUACCACCGAGAAAUCGGUGACAAGACCGCAUGUCUUCGGCACCGAAGAAAGUCUCGCAAGAGACGCCACAAGAUGAGCCUGCGCCUGAUUAGCUGGUUGGUGAGGUAACAGCUCACCAAGGCAACGAUCAGUAGCUGGUCUGAGAGGAUGAUCAGCCACACUGGGAUUGAGAACGGCCCAGACUCCUACGGGGGCAGCAGUGAGGAAUUUCGUCAAUGGGGGCAACCCUGAACGAGCAACGCCGCGUGCAGGAUGACACUUUUCGG
rnacentral:rRNA from 1 species